rnacentral:rRNA from 1 species
GUGGGGAAUCUUCCGCAAUGGACGAAAGUCUGACGGGGCAACGCCGCGUGAGUGAUGAAGGUCUUCGGAUUGUAAAGCUCUGUUAAUCGGGACGAAAGAGCCUAGUGUGAAUAAUGCUAGGAAGUGACGGUACCGGAAUAGAAAGCCACGGCUAACUACGUGCCAGCAGCCGCGGUAAUACGUAGGUGGCAAGCGUUGUCCGGAAUUAUUGGGCGUAAAGCGCGCGCAGGCGGAUCUGCCAGUCUGUCUUAAAAGUUCGGGGCUUAACCCCGUGAUGGGAUGGAAACUACAGAUCUAGAGUAUCGGAGAGGAAAGUGGAAUUCCUAGUGUAGCGGUGAAAUGCGUAGAUAUUAGGAAGAACACCAGUGGCGAAGGCGACUUUCUGGACGAAAACUGACGCUGAGGCGCGAAAGCCAGGGGAGCGAACGGGAUUAGAAACCCCGGUAGUCC